rnacentral:rRNA from 1 species
UUCGGAUGAUUUUCUAUUUGACUGAGCGGCGGACGGGUGAGUAACGCGUGGGUAACCUGCCUCAUACAGGGGGAUAACAGUUAGAAAUGACUGCUAAUACCGCAUAAGCGCACAGUGCUGCAUGGCACAGUGUGAAAAACUCCGGUGGUAUGAGAUGGACCCGCGUCUGAUUAGCUAGUUGGUGGGGUAACGGCCUACCAAGGCGACGAUCAGUAGCCGGCCUGAGAGGGUGAACGGCCACAUUGGGACUGAGACACGGCCCAAACUCC